rnacentral:lncRNA from 1 species
AGGAGGUGGCGCGCGAGAGGAGGAGCUCGACGCCGAACUGCGCCUCCUACAGCCCCCCAUCGUAUCCGCCUACGGCCCUCGCUCCUCCCUUGGCUGGAUGCUUCGUUCGAAUGUUCCAUUGUAGAUGAAGAACACAGAGAGAGAGCGCGCAGACAAGAACUGGGGGAGAGGGAGAGGAUGCAGAUAAGGGGAUUGAGAGAUCUGCGAAACAAUAAAACAAUGGAUCGGAUCCAUGGGCCAGCCCAAAGGAUAUGGGCCGCAUUUCGCAGGUGAGGCCAUUCUUUUUUUUAAAAAGCCCAUUCCUAAUGUUCAGAAAUUUAUUUUCGGCCACGGAAGAAAAAGGGUGAAGAAUUGAGUAGACCUCUCCUCUACUGAAAUAAUUUUCUAGAUUAAGAAGCAAAAGGGCCCAAAUGUUCUUUCAAAAUAAGUUCAUGUAUUUUAAUCUCCAGCAUACAUGCGGGGUUUUCUCUCUCUAUUUUUGGCGACUUUUCACGACACGUGUGUUAUAUGAAUUUCCAGGUGAACCCAAAUUGACCUAGCCUAAGACGACCGGAGGAGAAGGACAUGCGUGCCAAUAGUGACACGAAUGGUGCACCUGAGUUCUCUCUCAACGAGAGACUAUGAGAAACCCAAACUUUUCAGAGAGGCAUUUCGUUCCUCCUUCCAGAAAAUGCAAAACCACAUGUACAUGUGACUACAUGGCUUAUCCCAAUCGUUGAUUUCUCUCCAUCUAAUUGUUGAUUCAUUACCUACCCAACGUAGUUUUCACCUACCCACGAUUCAUCUCACCACGAUAACUCAUGUGGUACAUGUAUGUGAAAAAUACAUGUUCCAUUUCUUGGUGGAAACGAGCUGCAUUCUUGCAAUCAAAAGGCUGAACGAGAGAGAGGGGGAAAAGAACAAUCUUUUUCGUACAGGUCAGAUGCCAACUGCUUCCCAAAGUACAGAAACAUGGGGCCAUGACCAGUUAAUGUUACGCUGACACUGCUGGUAACUGAUUGCGCUAGCUCUCCACGUCAGCCAUCUCUUCUCACGGGAUGGAUGAAAUUAUGCACGGUAUUGGAUGCGGGAUUGGAUGCAAUUACGCAAAGAUACGCAGAGGCAGGGCAGAGCCCAUGAUGUGAACCAAAACCUGUGGGAUAAUCCCGAUCUUUCUACGAGAGAAUUGGAUAACUCAAUUUGAAUAUGGAGAUGACGUUCACGGCUAGACUCCAACCAUCCAAAGAUGUUGCGCCUUAGCAACCGAUAUACCACCUCCAAUGAUCGUCGCAAUCUUGUGGAGCACGAUCAACCAAAUUACUAGGGUAAUUCCUGCAAGCAAUCGAGAAACAAGUAAGAACAGGUAGAAUAAGCAACUCAAUUGCAAAUAUGGAGAUAAAAAUCAAUUUGAAAUCACAAAGUUGGGGUUCUGAAUCGAAUAGAACGGAUGGUCUAGUCAAUACACGCGUCUACAAGGAAGUAGCAAUAGCUAAACUUUCAACAAAACAAAACCCAGGAUGGCCACCAGGGUGUUGGAGUCGUGCUCCAACCCUAGGACGUCACUAAUGGACCCAACUUGAUACACGGUCCAUUGGGCAAAAAAAGGU